AACUUAGCUUGCUAAGUUUGAUGGCGACCGGCGCACGGGUGAGUAACACGUAUCCAACCUGCCGAUGACUCGGGGAUAGCCUUUCGAAAGAAAGAUUAAUACCCGAUGGCAUAGUUCUUCCGCAUGGUGGAACUAUUAAAGAAUUUCGGUCAUCGAUGGGGAUGCGUUCCAUUAGGUUGUUGGCGGGGUAACGGCCCACCAAGCCUUCGAUGGAUAGGGGUUCUGAGAGGAAGGUCCCCCACAUUGGAACUGAGACACGGUCCAAACUCCUACGGGAGGCAGCAGUGAGGAAUAUUGGUCAAUGGACGAGAGUCUGAACCAGCCAAGUAGCGUGAAGGAUGACUGCCCUAUGGGUUGUAAACUUCUUUUAUACGGGAAUAAAGUGAGGCACGUGUGCCUUUUUGUAUGUACCGUAUGAAUAAGGAUCGGCUAACUCCGUGCCAGCAGCCGCGGUAAUACGGAGGAUCCGAGCGUUAUCCGGAUUUAUUGGGUUUAAAGGGAGCGUAGGCGGACGCUUAAGUCAGUUGUGAAAGUUUGCGGCUCAACCGUAAAAUUGCAGUUGAUACUGGGUGUCUUGAGUACAGUAGAGGCAGGCGGAAUUCGUGGUGUAGCGGUGAAAUGCUUAGAUAUCACGAAGAACUCCGAUUGCGAAGGCAGCUUGCUGGACUGUAACUGACGCUGAUGCUCGAAAGUGUGGGUAUCAAACAGGAUUAGAUACCCUGGUAGUCCACACAGUAAACGAUGAAUACUCGCUGUUUGCGAUAUACAGUAAGCGGCCAAGCGAAAGCGUUAAGUAUUCCACCUGGGGAGUACGCCGGCAACGGUGAAGCUCAAAGGAAUUGACGGGGGCCCGC
rnacentral:rRNA from 1 species